rnacentral:lncRNA from 1 species
CACCUGGCUACAACAGCCACUGUACAUUAUUUUUAUGGCCCCUAAAGAAAUCUAUCAGUUGCUUCUUCACAGAUUUUAGCUGGAAUAAGUUCUAUGGAUGCAACUAUGUACGCCUAGAUAUGAAGAAAAAAAAAACAAUAGUGAGUGGUGCUGUACAUGAGACAAACCAAUAAGGUAAGAGGUUUUAAAAAAUAGUUCCCACCAAGGAAAUGAGAAGUUUAGGAGAUGUAAAAGAGUAAUUUAUAGUUCUUGAGCCUGGGCUGGUGGCUAC